GAGGAAUGUAUAGCAAUAGCUAGKUGCAUCAUUGUAGAUAUGAUGCAAGAUCGACUAUGUUGAAUAAAAUUCUAGGUAGAAUUAUGAUAAUGACAUUGUCUGCCUAUGUGUCUUGACCAAAUUACGUGCCAGCAGUCGCGGUAAUACGUAGAAGACUAGUGUUAUUCAUGUUUAAUCGGUUUAAAGGGUACCUAGACGGUAGAUCAAGCUUUCUAAUAAAGGAAAAGGACUAAUUUACUAGAGUUACUUAUGAGGGGGUAUUAAAGUACUGCUGGUGUAGAGAUGAAAUUCUGUCAUACCUCUUUUCAAAAGAAAAACCAUGGCACAGGUAUAGGCGAAGGCAUCCCCUUAUGUGAUAACUGACGUUGAGGGACGAAGGCUUUGUGUAGCGAACAGGAUUAGAUACCCCAGUAGUCGAAGCAGAAAAUGAUGAAUGUCAUAGAUUAGAUAUAUAAGUUUAUUCUAUAAAUGAAAGUGUAAGCAUUCCACCUCAUGAGUAAUUUGGCAACAUUGGAACUGAAAUCAUUAGACCGUUUCUGAAACCAG
rnacentral:rRNA from 1 species